rnacentral:tRNA from 1 species
GGAGAAGUACCCAAGAGGCCGAAGGGGCUCCCCUGCUAAGGGAGUAGGUGCGGUAACGUACGCGGGUGUUCAGAUCACCUCUUCUCCGCCA